rnacentral:lncRNA from 1 species
GACUGGUGUUGUAAGUUUAACACUCCCCCUCAAUACCAGCUUCUAUUCUUUCUACCAUCCUGAGCUAAUGACAAAACUUGAAAACAUGCUGCCAUUCAUGCCUUUCAUGAACACAUCUACAACUUGGUCCUUCGUGUUAAUAUACUUUAACCUAAAUUCCUCUUGCAUAACUUUCUUCAUGAUGAAGUGAUAACGUACGUCCAUGUG